rnacentral:rRNA from 1 species
AUUGAACGCUGGCGGCAGGCCUAACACAUGCAAGUCGAGCGAGAAAGCACCUUCGGGUGUGAGUAGAGCGGCGGACGGGUGAGUAACGCGUAGGAAUCUACCCAGUGGUGGGGGACAACAGUCGGAAACGGCUGCUAAUACCGCAUACGCCCUGAGGGGGAAAGCGGGGGAUCUUUUCGGAGACCUCGCGCCAUUGGAUGAGCCUGCGUUGGAUUAGCUAGUUGGUGGGGUAAAGGCCUACCAAGGCGACGAUCCAUAGCUGGUCUGAGAGGACGAUCAGCCACACUGGGACUGAGACACGGCCCAGACUCCUACGGGAGGCAGCAGUGGGGAAUAUUGCGCAAUGGGCGAAAGCCUGACGCAGCCAUGCCGCGUGUGUGAAGAAGGCUCUAGGGUUGUAAAGCACUUUCAGUAGGGAGGAAA